UAAAACCAGCACCUCAAGUGGUCAGGAGGAUUAUUGGGCCUAAAGCAUCCGUAGCCUGCUCUGUAAGUUUUCGGUUAAAUCUAUAUGCUCAACAUAUAGGCUGCCGAAAAUACUGCAGUGCUAGGAAGUGGGAGAGGUAGACGGUACUUGAUAGGAAGGGGUAAAAUCCUUUGAUCUAUCGAUGACCACCUGUGGCGAAGGCGGUCUACCAGAACACGUUCGACGGUGAGGGAUGAAAGCUGGGGGAGCAAACCGGAUUAGAUACCCGGGUAGUCCCAGCUGUAAACGAUGCAGACUCGAUGAUGCAUUGGCAUAUAGCCAGUGCAGUGUCGCAGGGAAGCCGUUAAGUCUGCCGCCUGGGAAGUACGUACGCAAGUAUG
rnacentral:rRNA from 1 species